rnacentral:misc_RNA from 1 species
CAAAAAGAUGCAUUGCGAGCAAUGGCGACAUCCAAAUAUUGGACAUUAUCAGCAUAUGCCAAGGAAAGCAAAAUGAGAAGAUUUGUUGAGGAUGUGUUGGAUUCAUCAUUUUGGAAAGAAUGUGCAUUAAGUAUGCAGAUCACUAAACCUUUAGUCCGUGUUUUGAGAAUGGUUGACAGUGAUGAUAGAACUUCAAUGGGAUAUUUAUAUGAGGCUAUUCAUAAAACUAGAGAAGAAAUAGUAUGGAGAUGCACUUUCAUUAUUUGAUAUUUGAUUUUUUAUGUAGAUGAAUGGUGG